AUUGAACGCUGGCGGCAUGCUUUACACAUGCAAGUCGAACGGUAACAGGUUAAGCUGACGAGUGGCGAACGGGUGAGUAAUGCAUCGGAACGUGCCCGAUCGUGGGGGAUAACGCAGCGAAAGCUGCGCUAAUACCGCAUCCGAUCUGAGGAUGAAAGCGGGGGACCGUAAGGCCUCGCGCGAUCGGAGCUGCCGAUGUCAGAUUAGGUAGUUGGUGGGGUAAAGGCUCACCAAGCCAACGAUCUUUAGCUGGUCUGAGAGGACGACCAGCCACACUGGGACUGAGACACGGCCCAGACUCCUACGGGAGGCAGCAGUGGGGAAUUUUGGACAAUGGGCGGAAGCCUGAUCCAGCAAUGCCGCGUGCAGGAAGAAGGCCUUCGGGUUGUAAACUGCUUUUGUACGGAGCGAAAAGGCCCUCACUAAUACAGUGGGCUCAUGACGGUACCGUAAGAAGAAGCACCGGCUAACUACGUGCCAGCAGCCGCGGUAA
rnacentral:rRNA from 1 species